CCGAUUCAGCCCUGAGGCAGAAAAACUGGACAAAGCAGUUUUUUUCCCCCUUCCCCUUUAUAGAGUGUGUGAUUUGUGCAACAGCUUUGGCUUGGCAAAUAGGGAAGUGUCAGCGCUAAAUCAGCUUUACUCUAAGGGCACGGUACGCCUGUGUUUCUCAACCGAGUGAUACCCAAAUCCAGGACCAUUUUACUUCAAGUGGAAUACACACACAGAGCAAACAUUCUCAAGGUGACUUAAAGACAACAGUGAGGAUAUCCAUAUUCUGGAGGUUGGAUCUCUGGGAAAGCUGGUCACUGGCUUCUGCCUGGCAUGAAGGGUACAGAAGGUAGGAUUUCCUUCUUUAAGGUGUUUGGUAUAUGAAACUGCGUGUUUCUGGCCUGUGCUACCUUGUCCCAGUUUAAAGCCCACUGUACUAGCUUGACAUCUGGCUGAGGCAUGAUCCCUUUCUUUUCAUUUCAUUCAGCCUUGAUCUCCCAAUUGGCCUUUGACUGCUGACUUUCGUACUCUUUUUGGUUCCAGACUGUCUGCUUGGCCUGACCUUGUGCUUAAUGCUUGACCUCUCCAUGACUCCUAGGAACCAUACCCUGAACCUAGAUUGACUGCUGUCCACAGCUCAGUCAGAAAAUGGAAGCCUUUAGAAUAAAUGAAUUAUCAAAGAGAGGAGAAAUACA
rnacentral:lncRNA from 1 species